rnacentral:misc_RNA from 1 species
GUAUUCAAUUUAUUUUUGGUUUUCCAAAAAAAAAAUAAUGAUGUUUUCAGGCUUGCUUCAAGAAAAAGCAAGAAAAGUUCGUCAAGGUGAAAGAAAAAACUCUGGCAGUGCCGGAAGGACAAGGGGGGGAAACAAGAAAGAAGAAGCUUCCUUUCUCGCCCUCCUCUUUUCCCUCCACGGAGAAACGGUAAAGAAUCUCCCUGCACAAACUGCCAAAGCAAACAUGUCGAUGAUGUGCACACGAAGGUGGAUAUGGAUUUAAACCAUCCAUAUGCAAAGUAAAAUGGACAAUUGUUAAUGAUCCUUCCGCAGGUUCACCUACGGAAA